UACGGAGGUGGCAAGCGUUGUCCGGAUUUAUUGGGUUUAAAGGGUGCGUAGGCGGCCCUGUAAGUCAGUGCUGAAAUAUCCCGGCUUAACCGGGAGGGUGGCAUUGAUACUGCAGGGCUUGAGUAAAGUUGAGGUUGGCGGAAUUGACGGUGUAGCGGUGAAAUGCUUAGAUAUCGUCAAGAACACCGAUAGUGAAGACAGCUAACUAAGCUUUAACUGACGCUGAGGCACGAAAGUGUGGGGAUCAAACAGG
rnacentral:rRNA from 1 species